rnacentral:tRNA from 1 species
GCAAGGGUGGUCGAGCGGUCAAAGGCAUCGGGCUGUAAACCCGACGGAUUAAUUUCCUACAUAGGUUCAAAUCCUAUCCCUUGCACCA